AGAACACUCUCGGAAAUUGUUACCCCCAGAAACUUGUGCCUGGGUGAUUGAACCGAGUUCCCAUUUUCGCCAACCAGUUGUUGCCACAAGAGAAACGGCGUCUGGUUCCGUCGGUGGAUACCAGUUCUGCUGAGCGUCACGAAUUUCACGUUGGACUUCGUAGUUUGGUUGUACGAAGUCGAUAUUGAAAUAAAAUCUCAACAAGUUGGCAGACAUGAUAGAUGCUUCUAGUACAAAGCCACGUCGGAGAUAUUCUCAUAGAAAUGUUUGAGUUCGAGAGGGUCGUCAAACGAGAAAUGACCUGGAGUGGUAAACAUAAGUUAUGGCGAUGAAAUGGAAACUGGAAUUCUCAAAUAAACUCACCGCAUAAACACACCCGUGAUGUGAAGCUAUAGAGAAUAGCAGAUUUUCCACAUGGUUUGAUCAUACAUGAGGCUGGAGGCAAGGGGUCCCGUUUCCAUAAUUUUCAUGUGUCAAGCAGAAAGCUCUGCCCUUAUAUGUUCAACUUGAAAGGGGAAGAU
rnacentral:sRNA from 2 species